rnacentral:rRNA from 1 species
UUUUGUGACUGAGUGGCGGACGGGUGAGUAACGCGUGAGGAACCUGCCUUUCAGAGGGGGACAACAGUUGGAAACGACUGCUAAUACCGCAUGAUACAUUCGGAUGGCAUCAUCUGAAUAUCAAAGAUUUAUCGCUGAAAGAUGGGCUCACGUCUGAUUAGUUAGUUGGUGAGGUAACGGCUCACCAAGACUGCGAUCAGUAGCCGGACUGAGAGGUUGAACGGCCACACUGGAACUGAGACACGGUCCAGACUCC